rnacentral:rRNA from 1 species
GAACGAGUUCUCGUUGAUGAUCGGUGCUUGCACCGAGAUUCAGCAUGGAACGAGUGGCGGACGGGUGAGUAACACGUGGGUAACCUGCCCUUAAGUGGGGAUAACAUUUGGAAACAGAUGCUAAUACCGCAUAGAUCCAAGAACCGCAUGGUUCUUGGCUGAAAGAUGGCGUAAGCUAUCGCUUUUGGAUGGACCCGCGGCGUAUUAGCUAGUUGGUGAGGUAAUGGCUCACCAAGGCGACGAUACGUAGCCGAACUGAGAGGUUGAUCGGCCACAUUGGGACUGAGACACGGCCCAAACUCCUACGGGAGGCAGCAGUAGGGAAUCUUCCACAAUGGACGCAAGUCUGAUGGAGCAACGCCGCGUGAGUGAAGAAGGCUUUCGGGUCGUAAAACUCUGUUGUUGGAGAAGAAUGGUCGGCAGAGUAACUGUUGUCGGCGUGACGGUAUCCAACCAGAAAGCCACGGCUAACUACGUGCCAGCAGCCGCGGUAAUACGUAGGUGGCAAGCGUUAUCCGGAUUUAUUGGGCGUAAAGCGAGCGCAGGCGGUUUUUUAAGUCUGAUGUGAAAGCCCUCGGCUUAACCGAGGAAGCGCAUCGGAAACUUGGGGAAACUUGAGUGCAGAAGAGGACAGUGGAACUCCAUGUGUAGCGGUGAAAU